rnacentral:sRNA from 1 species
AUACCAGGAUCAAGGCCUACACACAUGAGUUUGAUCAUGAGUGAGUGUUAAGGCCUUGGAACCCGCCCCGAUAUGAGCAUGAAAGCAGGAUGAAGAUCCCAGGAUAUGCGAAUAUCAGGAAGGGCUGUGGAAGUGCGCAGCACGUAGCAAUCCGUAGGU